GACGAACGCUGGCGGCGUGCCUAAUACAUGCAAGUAGAACGCUGAAGAGAGGAGCUUGCUCUUCUUGGAUGAGUUGCGAACGGGUGAGUAACGCGUAGGUAACCUGCCUUGUAGCGGGGGAUAACUAUUGGAAACGAUAGCUAAUACCGCAUAACAAUGGAUGACACAUGUCAUUUAUUUGAAAGGGGCAAUUGUUCCACUACAAGAUGGACCUGCGUUGUAUUAGCUAGUAGGUGAGGUAAUGGCUCACCUAGGCGACGAUACAUAGCCGACCUGAGAGGGGGGUCGGCCACACUGGGACUGGGACAACGCCCAAGACCCCUACGGAGGCAGCAGGAGGGAAUCUUCGGGAAUGGGGGCAACCCUGAACGGAGAACGCCGCGUGAGUGAAGAAGGUUUUCGGAUCGUAAAGCUCUGUUGUAAGGCAAGAACGGAAGUGGGAGUGGAAAGUUCACGCUGUGACGGUAGCUAACCAGAAAGGGACGGCUAACUACGUG
rnacentral:rRNA from 1 species